UGCCAGACCACUUGCGGGUGAAACUAACAAUUUCAUCUCAUGGGUAUGUUGUAUCGAUGUUUUGGAGCCUGAUGUUUUACCGUCUUUUUCUUAACUAUAAUUUUUACAAUAGUAGCUGUCCACAACGCGUAAAUUGAAACUUCAGCCAACGGAGUAAAAGUCUGCUUUGUUUUCGAGUACAAUGCUCUCUGAUCUUUUUUUAACAUGUAUAAAUUUAACAAUGUAAAAGGUCGACACCGCUUGAUAAACACAACAUUAAUGUCGACACAAAAGAUAUAUACGUCGGUGGAUUUCAUUUUUAAUUCCUUUGGUGCACAGUAGGGUCUGAUUCUCAUAAAAUAGAUUGGGUACAUGUACUUUCAGGUUAACCUUAUAGUGAUAGUGUUUGGCUAUAUGUUAAUAACACUGAAAAUUUCUGUCCCCAUAGAAAGGACAUUUAAAGUUUUCGAGCCAGAUGUUUAUAAUUCAAUAUAGGUUAAAUAGAUGUAUUACAGGAGGGCCUAUAUCUUUUAAAAAAGAAGUUGUAUCAACACAAUAUGUUGACAGUAUCAGACCACUUGCGGGUGAAACAAACAAUAUGUCUCUUGGGUAGGGUGUUUCGAUGAUUUGAAGCCCGAAGUUUUAAUUGGUUUUUUCCCUAACUAUAAUUUUUACAAUGGUAGCUGUCCACCACUAGUACGUGUAAUGGAAAUAUCUCCCCACGAGAGAUUCAAAACUGUUACAAAUGAGGAAAUAGAGAAAUUUUUCGACUCCAGGCAAGCAAAAUCAACAAAAAGAAAUACAGCAUGGGGAUUUUUCAAGAUUGGAACAUGGAGAUCUAUGGUUCUGUACUAAUGGUGCAACAUUAGACCUGCAAACAGCAAAUGUGUCAACUCUUGCCAGUCAUCUCUCGUGAUUUUAUUGUGAAGCCAGCCCCAAAGAAAAAGUUGAUGAUGAUGUUUAGCCUUUGUACCACAAAAAUACUUUGAUCAAUAUCAAAGGAGCAAUAAAUCGCCAUCUUGCUGACAUUCAGAGAGAUGUAAAUAUAGUCCAUGACAAGGAGUUCAGAACAGCCAAUGGAAUCUUGGAUGGUUUCUUUAAAGAGCGAACCUGACUUGAUCUGUCAAAACCAACAUCACACAAAGAUAUUAUCGAGAUACAUGAUCUGCAGAAGAUUUAUAAAUACCUCCAAGGUGCCACAUCAUCACCAGUGGUUUUGCGCCAUGCUGUAUGGUACUUUCUGUCCAUCAAUUUUAUUACCAUAGGUUUAGAGUUCCACCAUAAGUUUAAUCAUAACAGCUUUGUCUUCUGCACAGAUGAAACUUGCCAAUAUGCUGCAUUACAACACAAAACAUUACAAAAUAAUCAUCAAGGUGGUGUAGAUGCCGAUGACAGCCAUACAGACAAGAUGAUGUACGCAACUGAUAAUGAAAACUGCUGUCAUGUUUAUCUCUUAAAGUUACUGAUGUCAAAAACAGAUUCAAAUGCUACAAAUCUUUUCAACCAAUACAUAUAAGAGAGAGUUCAUUCUGAUAUUUGGUAUUCAGCAAAACCCCUGCCAAAGCGCACUUUCAACAAGUCUCUCGGGGAGAUUUGCUUUGCUGCUGGUGUGGAGCAUAAAUACACAUCCCACUGUUUACGGGCCACUGCAAACACUUACCUUAAUGAUCAGGGAUUUGAAGCACGACACAUCAUGUUCAUGUCGAACCAAAGGAAUGAGAGUUCAAUGAGGUCAUAUAACAGAUCGCUCUCCUCUAAGCAAAAAAAAAAAGCAUUCUGCGAUGGCGUCUGCAUCUUCAUCCCCUUUUACGAUCGUAGCUCUUCCACUGCUGUCGACCAGGUUCUCGAACUUGCCACCACGAACCCAUGAAAAUCAGGCUCAACUUGAAAACUUACCGUCACCAUCUGCACAUGAGACCACAACUCUCAUAUCGUCAAAUUCCACAGCCACAACAUCGUCCUCCAUGCCAGCAACAUUGAAAACAGUUAACAUGAACAUGCAAAACAUUAAUCCAACAGCUGGGUUUUUCAAUAAUGCAAA